GUGCCAGCAGCCGCGGUAAGACAGAGGUGGCAAGCGUUGCUCGGAAUCACUGGGCUUAAAGGGUGUGUAGGCGGAUCGGUAAGCAUUUUGUGAAAGCCCCGGGCUCAACCCGGGAAUUGCAGGAUGGACUGCCGACCUUGAGGCGCGUAGAGGUCACUGGAACUCUGGGUGGAGCGGUGAAAUGCGUAGAUAUCCAGGGGAACGCCCAUGGCGAAGGCAGGUGACUGGGCGCGUCCUGACGCUGAGGCACGAAAGCGUGGGGAGCAAACGGGAUUAGAAACCCCCGUAGUCC
rnacentral:rRNA from 1 species